rnacentral:rRNA from 1 species
CCCGGCGGCUAUGGCAGGGAGGCAAUACCCGUCCCCAUCCCGAACACGGAAGUCAAGCUCCCUCGCGCCCAUGAUACUGCUCUCGCGGGAAAGUAGGCCGCCGCCGGGC